CAUCACGCAUGCGCGAUAGUUCGUGAGCAGACGAACCACUGAAAGAGACUUGCGCAGUCUAGUUGCAUCCAGCCAAAUACUAGUAGAACCCGAAACAUUGUUUUGACAAGUUCUGUCAUGUUGGGUUUGCAGGUUUUCACAAAAGACCAAGGUGUUGCAGCUUUUAUUCCGUGUUUUUCUUGCUAUCAACAGUACAGGCUGACCAACGACAGUUUUAGCUACAAAUAUUUGACGCCUCGUCUUGCAACUAGCUGUUGAUAUUCUAGGUUUUUUAAAUUUAAAAUUGGAAUCAACUGUCUGAGAUGUCGUUACCCCUGGCAGACGGGAGGCGCUAACGUCUGCUAACGUCAAAAUUGUCUAUUUCCCCCCGUCAGCUAAGGAGUACAAAGUACCUAUAUUAUAGUCUUUCUUUUCCUCUUAGUGUCACCUUAGUUAGACUUGUAGUUACUUGUCUCAUCAUUCUGGAUUUACGCAACGACGACAUUUGGUGUUGCACGUUUCUUCGCUGUUUUAUUGUCCUUUGUAUAGAGCGUAAGUUCUUCUAAUAGACCAACAUAUCUGCGAGCAAGGAUCUGCUUAGGGACAGUGAGACAUCAGCGAAUACAACAACGGAACCAUAUCCAAAUUGUAGCACAAAACUUGUACAGCUGUGAUACCUCCCAAACACCUAUGCAGUUUGGAAUGCUUGUCAGGUGAAUGCAGAUUAAUGUAAAAGAUGUCAAAUGUUAGACAUGUGGAAAAGGCCUGAUAGGAUGUGUGGGCGCCUUUGGUAACAUAGAUUGGAACUUAUGAUUUUUCAUGUUGGCUACACCAAGGCAGUAAUAACUGUGCUGCAAACAAUCUGCAAAACAUGCUUGUCUGUCCAUCUCAGUGAUGAGAUGGCAAAUUUGUUGAGUAAAUCUGACUAAGGAAGAAAAUCUGAGAAGUGUUCCUAAAAGUAACUUGUCCCAGUGUGAUUUUCAUAGCAAUCCAUCAUUUGUUCCAAAGAUUUUUUUAUGAAGCUACAACAUAGAAGGUCUUGACCCAGUAAGCAUCAUACAGGGAGCUCCUAUGUAUGAAAGGAACUUUCUUCAGUAUUGAUACUGGGAUAAAUGACUUUGUUCUCAUCAACUUUCAGUUUAAAGAAACCAUUAACUCCUCAAAGACCACAAGUACACCUGUUACCACCACCCGGUUCCAAAUCGAUGAUUGCUUGGAUUCUAGAAAAAAACAAUGCUCGGUAAAGUAAAUUUUACAGUUGCCAACCACAAUAGUUCCGCACUGUAAUAAAAUCUCGGUCAGUGACUCGGUGUCGCCAACGUGAUACAAAGUUAUUCAACUCUUUACAUCAAACCUGUUGAGAAGGAUGCCCCAGGCUGGACACUAUUACUCCAAUUGAAAAUGAAUGGACACAGUUCAUUUAUAGCACUCAUGCAAGAUGCAACCACCAUUUAGACAUCUUAAAAACGUAUUUUAGGAUAUGCAAACUAUGGCACUUAAUUUUUAUAUAAUACUUCGCAAGUUUGUCGCAUGUGAAAAAGAAUAAAAAUGGAAUGUGAUGCCUAGGUAGCAUAAUGAGGUCAGAAGAUUGCCCAACAUCUAUGGAAAAAUGACUUGAUUGAUGAACCAGCUAUAUUUAGCAGGUUGGCUUUAUUGGAGAACUGUUAAACAUUUGAUAUUCAUAAUGUUCGCAAGGCUUUUAAGAAAAUAGUUUUCAUUGCACUGGCGACAAUUCGGAAUGGCGAGGUGCGAAUGAAUCGGAUUAAAAGUCAGCGUGGAAAUGCAAUAGUUCCGCAGCUGGCAAGAAAUGAGAGGACGAUUGGUGAUGAGACAAUUUAUUCUAAUCGCUGUAACUCAUGGACACGUCGACAUUCGUGGUAAUCAAACUUAGAACGUCUGCAAUGCGAAAUUUUUCACCAAUAUAAAGGAAAGCUGCAAACAUAUUUUCAGCAUUUUUAAUAAAAAAAUAAGCGCGUUCAUUCCCUUCAACCAAUUGUCAACGCGAGGCCCCGUAGGAACCUUCCAUACGUCACUUUUAUUGUAGCUGACAGUGACUGUAAUUAUGGCUUACUUAGCCCAUGCUUAUCCAGAGCUGCCUUGUUGAUCCCCGCCCUAAAAACUAUCAUCUUCAAAAGCUUCCAGGUUUGUUGUGGUCGUAGAACAGCAGACGACGAAGUUCAAAGCGGCAUUGUACCAUCGGGCAGAAUCCAAACGGUUGAUGCAUUGAAAAUGUCGGAGCUCUGUUGAUGAAUUUUCACCAGCACUCUUCCACAAGACGCGCGCGAAGCAAACGAUAGCAAAGGAGAUAGGGACUUGAAUUGGUUGUUUACCACCCGUGGCUUUCCCGCAUCCCAGGAUUAGUCUUGUACACCUUUUGCACUUGUACAGAGCGUUCGGGAACGAAAUUAGUUGUGGAUGGGUUUGCUGUUGACAAGCAAGGGAAGGAUUUUUACUACCAAACUAGAUAGGAAUGAAAUUUGUUGUGGCUGGUUUGUUUGUUGACAAGCAAGGGAAGGAUUUUUUUACCAAAGUAGACAGGAUAUUUAUUCUUAAUCCCACAAUGUCUUGGUAAUAAAUCACUACAAAUCAUGCUGAAUUAGAAUAGUAUGUUGAUCGAGGCUGGGUGCCAAAGCAAUGGAUGAUAAUUGAUUGGACUCUAAUCACUGCUGAGAUGGCCACUGAUGUGCAGUUCUUGUACUGCGAAUUCCCGGAUUGCCUUUGAAUGAUUGCCGAUGACAUCUCAAUUCUGUAGUUGGUAGAUAUCUGUUGAACAUAGUUGAAACUCA